rnacentral:rRNA from 1 species
AGAGUUUGAUCCUGGCUCAGGACAAACGCUGGCGGCGUGCCUAACACAUGCAAGUCGAACGGACCAGUGCUUCGCACUGAUAAUUUGAGGGACAGAGUCCCUCCAACUCCCUUCCAAAAAGGUUUUUUUACCGGAUGCUGACUGAAGCUAUAGUUUAAAGAUCUUCAAGGGGGUUUGGGUAGAGCCCCCAAAAUACCAGUGCGGAGCACCGGUUAGUGGCGAACGGGUGAGUAACGCGUGGGUAAUCUACCCGGUAAGUGGGGGAUAACCCUCCGAAAGGAGGGCUAAUACCGCAUAACCUCUUCCCUUCCCCGGAAGGGAAGAUUAAAGAUGGCCUCUUUAUAUGCUAUCACUUCCGGAUGAGCCCGCGUCCUAUUAGUUAGUUGGUAGGGUAAUGGCCUACCAAGACCACAAUGGGUAGCCGGUCUGAGAGGAUGUACGGCCACACUGGGACUGAGAUACGGCCCAGACUCCUACGGGAGGCAGCAGUGGGG